UAGGGAAUCUUCCGCAAUGGACGCAAGUCUGACGGAGCAACGCCGCGUGAGUGAAGAAGGAUUUCGGUUCGUAAAACUCUGUUGUUAGAGAAGAACAGCGCAUAGAGUAACUGUUAUGCGUGUGACGGUAUCUAACCAGAAAGCCACGGCUAACUACGUGCCAGCAGCCGCGGUAAUACGUAGGUGGCAAGCGUUGUCCGGAUUUAUUGGGCGUAAAGCGAGCGCAGGCGGUCAAUUAAGUCUGAUGUGAAAGCCCCCGGCUCAACCGGGGAGGGUCAUUGGAAACUGGUUGACUUGAGUGCAGAAGAGGAGAGUGGAAUUCAAUGUGUAGCGGUGAAAUGCGUAGAUAUAUGGGAGAACCCCAGUGGCGAAGGCGACUCUCUAGUCUGUAACUGACGCAGAGGCUCGAAAGCGUGGGUAGCAAACAGG
rnacentral:rRNA from 1 species